AUUGAACGCUGGCGGCAUGCUUUACACAUGCAAGUCGAACGGUAACAGGUUAAGCUGACGAGUGGCGAACGGGUGAGUAAUGCAUCGGAACGUGCCCGAUCGGGGGGGAUAACGCAGAGAAAGCUGCGCUAAUACCGCAUACGAUCUGAGGAUGAAAGCGGGGGACCGUAAGGCCUCGCGCGAUCGGAGCGGCCGAUGUCAGAGUAGGUAACUGGUGGGGUAAAGGCCCACCAAGACGACGAUCUUUAGCUGGUCUGAGAGGACGACCAGCCACACUGGGACUGAGACACGGCCCAGACUCCUACUGGAGGCAGCAGUGGGGAAUUUUGGACAAUGGGCGAAAGCCUGAUCCAGCAAUGCCGCGUGCAGGAAGAAGGCCUUCGGGUUGUAAACUGCUUUUGUACGGAGCGAAAAGGUCCUUUCUAAUACAAGGGGCUCAUGACGGUACCGUAAGAAUAAGCACCGGCUAACUACGUGCCAGCCGCCGCAGUAA
rnacentral:rRNA from 1 species